CAUAUUACAGUUCCCUUAUUAUUUACCACUCCACUAGUAGUGAAAGUUUUGGGCUGGUUAGAUUACCCAUGAUCCUCUACACUUUCACUGUAUUAUCUAAUUCGCUUCAUCUUGUGUGAUGUAGAGAAGAUGUAGAUGUUUGUGCUCUUCCAGAUGCAUGGUGUCUUCAUAUAUAAAACCCAGAGAUAUCAGUCCUUCUCACAUCACUUCCUGUGCAGCAGGACGAGCGUUAAAUCUGCACUCGGGGGACGUGGAGAGGGCAAGUCACUGAGAAAUCAUUCAAAUGCAGCCUUUGUGAAGCAGCUUGAAAGCUUGUUGUGAAGGCUCUGGGUUCCUGGCCGAGUUCCCACAGAGGACACUUUCAUUUUCUACAGACGGCUCUUUGUGCUCGACUCGUUCUCCACUGCUGCUACUUCAGUAAGACAAAAAACACCUUCCUAACCACAAUAUCAACUUCAUCUGCACCCCGAACGAGUGGAGAUACCAGACCUACGUGGCUUCACGUGCCAGUCGGGCCGUGCAGAAUGAAUUUCAGACACCUCUUUAUAGGAUAAAAGUGUUCAGUGAGACAGAUUUGACCUUCAGCAAGUUGGAAAUGUUAUGAUUCAAACCAUGUGGAGUUCAGUCCAGAGGAUCUUCAUCAACACACCAGAAAAUCACCACAGAAGCAGAUUUACUCCUCACCAUUGGUACUUUCAGUCUGUGUGUUGAGCUCAGAGCUGCUCUAUGAGGAGCACAUGUUCUCAGUUCUUUCCCCCAGUUAAAAAUCCUUCUCGAAAAGCAGUUUUUUUCCAUCCUGUUACAUAACCCGAGUGAUUCACCCUUUAGGAUCUUCUGUGAUUCAGAUGCAUGUGAUGUUGAUUCUCCAGUGAGGAACGAGGGACACCAGAGAGGAACUGCUGCAGGACAUGAGUGAAGAGCGUGUAACGAGAAGAGUUCAGAAGCAUCACGCUGUUGAAAAGUCACCUCGCUUGAGUUUGGAUGAGAAUUUCUCACAUAGCUAGACGUUUUUCUCCAGAUGGAUGGACAGCUGCAGGAAACUCAAUAGCAUGCAGGUCCCAUGAGCACAGCAGGCCACAUUAACCACUGCACUGCUGAGGAACACAAGCAACAGCUCAAAUACUCCAGUCUGGGAAAGUUGUGUAGGCUGAACUGUCUGAAGAUCCUGCUGAUCAUUCAGGGAGAAAAUGCCAGGACCUGAAUCUGAUGUUCUCAGAGCAGAUGAGCAGAUGAUCUAAUGCCAGCUGUCUAAUAAAGAGAACUCAUACAGGGAACAGAAAUAAUAAUACUGAACAUUUCACUUCCUUUCUAAAGAACGAUUUCAAGGUUUUUCCAUGUUGGAAUUCCAUUAAUUCGUUUUAUUGUUUAUUCAGCUGAAAAAAGUGCAGCAUGCUGGAAAAUCCACACGUAUACCGAGGAACUGGUGAAGAGGCCAAAAGAUCAACCUGAUGCUCCCACCAGCAUGCUUCACUGAGGAGAUGAUGAUCUCAGCAGUGUUGGGUUCCUGUUCUGAAAUGAUGGAACAUGUUUACAUGUAUCCAGAAAGACUUUUAUAUUAUUUAUAUGCUUGAGCAGUGGAGGGUUAAGGGCCCUGCUCAGGGGCCCACAGUGGCAGAUAGGUGGUGCACUUCUCAUCAGCACACUUUUAUUCUGGUUUAGAGAACAGUGAUGGUGUUUAUAUGAUCAGAUAAAGUAUGAAUUACCCUUGUGAGGUCUGGAUUUGGCUUUUGUCAUUUUCUUCUCAUCCGAUUCACAGCUUUUAAAUAUUUUCCAAUAGAAAAUAGCAAACGCUUAAAUAAAAGAGACGUCUACUUGUUCAGAGCUUGUUCUAGUGCUGAAGAUCAUCUCGAUCAUAGCGUCAGCCUGAACAGCUGCGUCUGAACACCUCCGAGACGUUCCUCACAAGCUGAAUGAUUCUGAAGCUGGUUAAAAUGUCAAUCGUUGUUUUUGGGGAAUGAACUUGACAAUUUGACAAGUAAACCCAAGAAAUGUGGUCUUUCAGGCGACAGAUCAAAUGCUAGCUAAGCUGCUGGUCUGGAGCCAGAGGAGGGGCUUUGCCAAAGAUCUUGGCAGAUCUGUAAGGUUUCACACGCCAACACACACACACACACACACACACACACACACACACACACAGCUUGUGUAGUGAAGCAUUUGACUCAGAAGGAAACUCUACAGCUUCUUCUCAGCCAAGCCAAACCUCUGAGUGCCUGCCUGAAAAACAACUCCAGAGCAGAAUUCGCUCUGAUUCCUGUUUCCUUCUCAGCGUUGCUGACUGAAGAAGUUCCUGAUAUGUUUACUCAGUUACCAUAUCGAUGCACUUAAACACUAGCUGCGGUAUGAACACUGGGUUUUGGACUUUGUUUUUUGGUAACAUGGGCCACAGCAGCAUGUGAUUCAGAGUUUCCCUCGUUUCAGUCCCUAGUGUUCGCGCCAGAACUCCACGACUGUUCGAUGCAAAUCCUCUGUAAACCGUCACAUUCUUCUGAAGAUCUUCACAUGACUGAUGGUACUUUCAGUAUAAAGUUUUAUGGAGAAAGAUUUGAAAUUUGUUUAAAUCGAGUAUCCAUCCCAUAAUAAGUAGAAAAUUCUCUCCUUAGUUGUCAUUAAGAAAUUAAAUAUUUAUAUAUGUUCAAUCAAUAUCCUGUCCACGUCGCCAUGGCAACAGUGGUGAAAAUUCCCACGCGCCUGGACAUCCAUUGUUGGCGGUUCACAUGCUUCAGCUCUAAAGGGUCUAAGGUUUGAGAGAUUUAGGGUCAAAGGUCAAGAGAGUCAGGGUCCAGGCUGAAGAGUGCAGCUGAUGUGGGUGUGUUUCUUCCCACAAUGGGAUCAGCUGGAGACGCGUCGUACGCUUGAUGAUGAAGAUGAAGAACCCACUGAGAUACACAGAUUCAUUCCCCAAAUAGUCCUUCACUUUCUACAUAAUAAAUGUUCUGCUUGUCACUGUUUGGAGAUUUGUUUGAUAAAGUCACAAUCACGACUCUCAACGCCAGGCUAAUGGAAGGAAAGCUAACAACAAGUUCUCACUAACCUGCAGCACUUACAGGAAACAAACGUUUAUCAUCUGCAGAAUAUACCUUUUUAAGUAGUUUAUUUAUUCCAAACAUCUUUACCUUCUUACUGCAACAUCAUUCACUUGAUUCAUUUAUACAUUACUGAUGAACAUUUAAAGUCUCAAAAAAGUUCAGACCUUCAAACCAUUUUCUUUUGGUGUCACCAAAUCUAAAAGCAUUAAUUCUCUAACCUCCAGGAUUUCUUCCUGCUUGUUCCUGGUGUGAAUGAGCUCAAUAGGGCAGCUGUUGGAUUUCAUGAAUAUUCAGAGGUUCAGUACGGAGAUGGAGAUGGAAACCUGGGGCCAUGACUUUAGGUCUGUGGAAAAGAAGGAAAAAAGAAAAGCUUAUUCUGAGUACUGCUUUAAUGGUUUAUGGAAAACGAAAGCAGAACGUGAGAACAUGUGUGAAGGACAUUAUGGUCAGCUGUGUUUGGAUGUGCUGAUGCACCUGCAGGAUUGAGGAAUUUUCAGUGCACUUUUAUUGUUCUAGAGUCGAAUGUAACUCACAUUUUUUAUUAGAAUAUUUAUAAUAUUUAGGUUUUGACAUUUAAAAGACGUUUUUGGGUUAAAAAUAAAUCUGUAGAUUAAUGUUACAUUAUAUCAGAUUUAAAUAACAUACAUGUUGAUUUUAUUUUAAUCUUCUGGUAUUAACUUUAAAUAAUAUGAAUAUGGUCUAAUGCUCCUAAACCAGACCUUCAUCGCUUCACACACUUUUUUGAUGAAUAUGGACAUCUAGUUUUUAAAUUACGAUUCUGAUUUGCACAAUGAAACAUAAAUAUUUAUUAUAUUCAGUAUGUUCAUUAGGCAUUUUGUAAUAUUUAGUAUAUUUAAUAUCUAUAUGUGUAGUUUUCAUUAUAUUGAGUAUUUAGGAAAUAAAGUAUUUUUGGUUCUGGGUGAAAACUUCUGCAGUGUUUGUUGGUUUUUGGGUUGGUGAUUGUUCUCUCUCCUUCCCAAACUCCAAACAUGUGAUUAGUGGUGUGCUGAGUCAGCGUUCUGGCUUAGCGUCCAUUUACUGAGCCGAGUUUCACUUCAUGAAGCAAAUAUCCAAAAUGGGUGAUGUGAUGAAAUUCACAGUUUCCUGAAUAAAUAAUUCUGACCAAUUUCUCCUCUUUUUUCUUUUAAAUGUAUAUUUGCUAUGGAUCCUGUACAAUUAGAUAUUUAUACAAAUCUGAUUUAUUGGUUUAAAAUUAUAUUAGUCAGCAGCAAAAACACAAUUGGAACCAUUUUCACAAAAUAAUUUAAGAUUGUGGCACAAAAAUGAGUAGACCCCAAUGAAUGUGUGAGGAGAAAACAUUCACCUGCAGAUGAGUCUGUUUAAUCAUCACACAGGUGGUCAUGAGAUAAUUGGUAAUUAAGAGGUAUUUAAGAGAGAAAAUCCACUCCCCUUUAACACUGACAAAAACAGCUCCACGUGGAAAAGAAAUGUUCUAGAACCUGAGAAAGAAAAUCAUUUCUUCUACAAAAAAAGAACUGAAAUUAAAAUAUCAGACACUGAGGAUAAUUUUGCUCCAGAGGAGGAAAUGAUGAUGAAGAGGAGGAGAUGAUGAUGAAGAGGAGGAGAUGGAUAACUCUCUCUAUGUUUAUAAUAAACUCCUGAGGACUGUAAUGACGGGGUGUUUUGGCAGAAUAAUUGUGUUUUUGUGGUCUUGGUUUGGCUGAGACGUAUGUUCUCCUCUGUCUCAUUAUAUCUAUAGGUAUAGGGUAUAUUUGUUUUAUUGAAGAAGAGAGGCUCAGGUUUCACGGCUUCUCACGUGCUAAUGGUGGAGCCAAUCGAGAUUAAACCCGGGGAUUUCUGAGGAACGAGACAUUUUCUGGAUUUUUAUUUUUUCAGGUCAGAAAAAUCGCUGAUUUCGCACAUUCUCGAGUAAUGUCAGUGCGACCUUCACGCCAAAUAAAUAAUAGAAGGAAAGAUUUUUAAAGAGGAAAAUGGAUGACUGUUGGAAAGUUUGAAUGUUUUAGUAUUUCAGCUUAACCCUAACACCCUAACAGUACACCUCAACAGUACACCCUAACAGUGCAUACAGCCUGACCGUACACCUUAACAGUACACCCUAAAAGUUAUAGCCUUACAGUACAGUGUGUGUGUGUGUGUGUGUGUGUGUGUGAAGGUUCAUGAGAAGGUUCCCCUGCUGUAUAAAAAGGUUUUUUGUGUGCUUUUAUGAGUGAGUGUGAGCAAGAUAAUAAAUCCAAGCCUUUCCCUUGUAAUGACUAGGACACACACACACACACACACACACACACACACACACACACACACACACACAGCCAUAGUAUACACUUAAACUAUGCAAAUAAAUACAUUUAUAAUUUACAAUGGAUGAUGCUAGUUCCUCACACUACACAGAGUAGUUUUGAUGUGCUGGUAGAUAAACGUGUAGCUGAUGAGAAACUGGACGACUGCCUCAUUACAUACUGCACACCUUCCAGCAUUAAACAUACACGCUAGCUAGCAAACCAUGCUAUGUGCUAAUGAGCUAAUAACGACCAGCUGUGGACAUUUCUAAGCUAAAUUUUAAAAGAUGUAGCGCAUUCGGUCUCUCUGUGUGUGUCUGUGUGUCUCUCUCUGUCUCUCUGUGUCUCCGGUUUGUAUUUAACGAAUGUGUUACAGUCCAUAUGGUGACCAUUUUACUAUUGUGUUUGUCUGGGAACAUUUUACUCUCACACACACACACACACACACACACAAUGAAUUGAAGAGGCCCUGGUUGUCAUUCAUAGCAUGUCUCUCACUCUAGCAGCAGUGUGUGUGUGUGUGUGUGUGUGUGUGUGUGUGUGUGUGUGUGUGUGUGUGUGUGGGAGAGAGAGAAAGAGGGAGAGAGAGAAAGGGGGGUUUUUGGUGGAUGAGGUUUUAGCGACUAUGGAAACAGUUAAACAGAGAAAAAUGAAGGUGGAAUAGAAAACACACACACACACACACACACACACACACACACACACACAGUUGUUCAGGACUGCUGUGUGAGUGGUGGUGAAAAUUAGUUGUGCUGCUGUUGUGAGGAACAUCUGACUGUGUUCACCUUCACACUAAUAAUCUGAUGUGUGUGAUCUGAUGGAGAUCAGACUUUCCAUCGGAUCAUCAAGCAGAACAGUUUGAUAACCUGAGAAUACAUAACUGUGUGUUUCUGUUUAUGUGGAUAAUGACGGUUACAGGUUGCUCCCAUCACCAUGCUUCACCCUGGGGGAGGGGUUUUCUGGGUUGAGGUUUUUGUCAAAACUCAAUGUGUGUGUGUGUGUGUGUGUGUGUGUGUGUGUGUGU